rnacentral:rRNA from 1 species
UACGUAGGGUGCAAGCGUUGUCCGGAAUUAUUGGGCGUAAAGAGCUCGUAGGCGGUUUGUCGCGUCUGCUGUGAAAACCCGAGGCUCAACCUCGGGCCUGCAGUGGGUACGGGCAAACUAGAGUGUGGUAGGGGAGAUUGGAACUCCUGGUGUAGCGGCGGAAUGCGCAGAUAUCAGGAAGAACACCAAUGGCGAAGGCAGAUCUCUGGGCCAUUACUGACGCUGAGGAGCGAAAGCGUGGGGAGCGAACAGGAUUAGAUACCCUGGUAGUCCACGCCGUAAACGUUGGGAACUAGAUGUAGGGGCCAAUCUACGGCUUCUGUGUCGCAGCUAACGCAUUAAGUUCCCCGCCUGGGGAGUACGGCCGCAAGGCUAAAACUCAAAGGAAUUGACAGGGGCCCGCACAAGCGGCGGAGCAUGCGGAUUAAUUCGAUGCAACGCGAAGAACCUUACCAAGGCUUGACAUAUACAGGAAAAGCGUAGAAAUACGCUCCCCGCAAGGUCUGUAUACAGGUGGUGCAUGGUUGUCGUCAGCUCGUGUCGUGAGAUGUUGGGUUAAGUCCCGCAACGAGCGCAACCCUCGUUCUAUGUUGCCAGCACGUAAUGGUGGGAACUCAUGGAAGACUGCCGGGGUCAACUCGGAGGAAGGUGGGGAUGACGUCAAAUCAUCAUGCCCCUUAUGUCUUGGGCUUCACGCAUGCUACAAUGGCCGGUACAGAGGGCUGCAAUACCGCAAGGUGGAGCGAAUCCCACAAAGCCGGUCUCAGUUCGGAUUGGGGUCUGCAACUCGACCCCAUGAAGUCGGAGUCGCUAGUAAUCGCAGAUCAGCAACGCUGCGGUGAAUACGUUCCCGGGCCU